AUUAGCGGAGAGAAGAGAGAUUUUUUUUCGCCUUUCUCUCAGCUCCUUUCCCGCCUCGGAAUAAUUUUGCGUGUGUGCGUGUGAAUUCGAGUGGAUAUUUUCGUGUAUUUUUUCCCCUCUGAUUUUUUUUUAAAUUUCUCCUUACCCCCUCCCCUCCCCCCCGUCUCCUCCUCCUCCAUUUUCUCCGCUGCUUCUGUCUGUCCGUGUGUGUGUGUGUGUGUGUGUGUGGGGAGAGGUGGAAAAAAGAGAGAAGCACCGGCCGGAUUGAGGAGGAGAGGAGAGGGUAAAAGAGAGAGGAAAAAGCGCGAAGAGAAAGUUGGAUUGUCAGAGGGUCGGUCGGCCGGAGAAGUCGGCCUGGCGAAGGAGCGCAAGGAGGUGGAAGUCGGGUUUGAAAAAAGGCGGCGCCGAGGAGGUGUUUGCUGUUGCGCAGAGCACUGGUUUGGUUGCUGGAUCCCCCACAGAGAAUGAUAUGAGACGUGACAGAAGAAGACAAUGCACACAGGCGGAGAGACCUCAGCAUGCAAACCUUCAACCGUUCGGCUUGCUCCUUCAUUUUCGUUUCAUGCUGCUGGCCUUCAAAUGGCUACGCAGGUGCCUCAUUCUCACCAGCAAUACAGUGACCGUCAUCAACAAACUGUAAAUGACCAGCAGGUGCCUGCAUUAUCAUACACUGACCAACUUCAACCAACUGUAACUAAUCAGGUGAUGCCUGAUGUUGUCAUGUUGCAACGGCGAAUGCCCCAAACGUUCCGUGACCCUAUCACUGCUCCACUGAGGAAACUUUCUGUAGAUUUGAUCAAAACAUACAAACACAUUAAUGAGGUAUACUAUGCAAAAAAGAAAAGACGGCACCAACAGGGUCAAGGAGACGAUUCCAGUCAUAAGAAGGAAAGAAAAGUCUAUAAUGAUGGCUAUGAUGAUGACAACUAUGACUACAUAGUGAAAAAUGGGGAAAAGUGGAUGGACCGCUAUGAAAUUGACUCCUUAAUUGGGAAAGGCUCUUUUGGACAGGUUGUCAAAGCAUAUGACCGUGUGGAACAGGAGUGGGUAGCAAUAAAAAUCAUAAAGAACAAGAAAGCAUUCCUAAAUCAGGCACAGAUUGAGGUCCGGCUGCUUGAGCUGAUGAACAAACAUGAUACUGAGAUGAAAUACUAUAUAGUUCAUCUGAAGCGGCACUUUAUGUUUAGAAAUCACCUCUGCCUUGUCUUUGAGAUGCUAUCCUACAACCUCUACGACUUGCUUCGAAACACCAAUUUCCGCGGUGUUUCCUUGAACCUUACACGGAAAUUUGCGCAGCAGAUGUGCACUGCUCUGCUCUUUCUUGCUACACCAGAGCUCAGCAUUAUCCAUUGCGAUCUUAAACCUGAAAACAUCUUAUUGUGCAAUCCCAAAAGGAGCGCUAUCAAAAUAGUUGACUUUGGCAGCUCUUGUCAACUUGGACAGAGGAUAUACCAGUACAUUCAGAGUCGUUUCUAUCGGUCACCAGAGGUGUUGCUGGGAAUGCCCUAUGAUCUAGCUAUUGACAUGUGGUCAUUAGGUUGCAUUCUGGUAGAGAUGCACACUGGAGAGCCACUCUUCAGUGGUGCUAAUGAGGUGGAUCAAAUGAAUAAAAUUGUAGAAGUUCUAGGAAUCCCCCCAUCUCACAUUUUAGAUCAGGCUCCCAAAGCACGGAAAUUUUUUGAGAAGUUAUCUGAUGCCUCGUGGACAGUGAAGAAGACCAAAGAUGGCAAGAGGGUGAAUAUCAAGAGUAACAUUAAAAAAAUUGGAAACACAGAAUAUAAGCCACCUGGAACCCGAAAACUUCACAGUAUUCUUGGAGUAGAAACUGGUGGUCCUGGUGGACGUCGAGCAGGGGAGUCGGGUCACACUGUAGCCGAUUACCUGAAGUUUAAGGAUCUGAUCUUGAGGAUGCUGGACUAUGACCCUAAGACACGAAUAGCCCCUUAUUAUGCACUGCAGCACAGCUUUUUCAAAAAGACAGCAGAUGAAGGGACAAACACAAGUAAUAGCGUUUCAACAAGUCCAGCCAUGGAACAGUCACAAUCUACAGGCACCUCUUCUAGCACAUCCUCAAGUUCAGGUGGCUCUUCUGGGACAAGUAAUAGUGGAAGGGCAAGGUCAGAUCCAACGCAUCAGCACCGGCAUAGUGGUGGGCAUUUCAGCGGAGCUGUCCAGGCCAUGGACUGCGAGACACACAGCCCACAGGUUCGACAGCAGUAUCCUGUGGCAUUGGGAUGGACACCUGGUGAUGCCACUACGCAAGUCACGGUUGAAGCUCAUCCAGUUCAAGAGACAACGUUCCACAUUGUCCCUCAACAACAGAGUGCAUUACACCACCACCACUCUAACAGCUCUCAUCACCACCUCCACCACCAUCAUCACCAUCACCAUGGACAGACCAUGAGUACCCGGAACAGGCCUCGAGCUUAUAACUCCCCAACAAAUGGCGCUGCUGCCCAGGACUCAAUGGAAGUGGGACAUAGCCACCACUCCAUGACGUCCUUGUCUUCCUCAAAUUCCUCUUCGUCCACUUCCUCUUCAUCUGUUUCUGGCUCUCAAGCUUAUCACAACCGGCCUGUUGUUGCCAAUACUUUGGACUUUGCUCAAAAUGGCACUGUGGACGUUAAUUUGGGUACAUAUGCCAAUCCCCGUCAAGAGACGGGAGUGUCUGGCCCACAAGUGUACCAGUUCUCAGCAACAGCAGGUCCUGCCCAUUACAUGACAGAAGGGCAUUUGUCAACGCGGCAAGGAAUGGAUAGGGAGGAGUCUCCAAUGGUUUCAAAAACUGAGUUUUGCCUCUGAGAUACGCUGAUUCAAGCAUUAUCCUAUUCAAAAAAAAAAGUACAGGAAUGUGCUGGAAAUUCAUUAGUCAUUGGUAUAAUAUUUUCUCAUUAGCCUUGAAAUAAUACUUAACACUACACUGAUAUGCAAUUCCAUUAUUUUACUCAAUUUUCUCCCAACCAGUUUAAAUGCCAUUUGGUGUCCUUGUUAGUUAUUGAUACUGAUUGUAGAUUGAACUGUUGUCUCUUUCCUCCACCUACUGUUUGACCAAAGAUGGCAGGCAAGGUUAAGAAACGUACAAUUGUUUUUUUUCUGGCACUCAAUACAAUGUCUGGUAAACCAAAUGAGUUCACUUUGGCCGUGGAGAUAUGGGGAUAGGGCAAGUUGAAAAUGAAUUUGAUUUUCUCUUCUUUGUUGGUACAUUGAAAUUGAUAUAAUACCACACGUGAACAAGUGAUAGACCAAAGGAAAUCUGGAAAUAGACCAAAGAUGCUGGAAACCCCCAGUGGUCAGCACCACCUGUACAGAGAAAAUAAAGUUAAUGUUACUGAGAUUUGACCUUUACCAAUGAAAGGCUGUGACUUGCUUAAAUGAGUACAGCACUAUAUAUUUUAGUUGCAUUAAGCAAACCGUUUCCAAUAUUUCCGAAGAAUCUUUUUAGCAAAUUUUGCCAGUGGCCCACUUGUUCUAGGGCUAUAAGUAAUUUUGUAAAACUGAUUUUUCCCCAAGUCAAAACAAAAUUACUGAUUUCACACCAGUAUAAGAAACAAGUGGAAUCUGUCAUACUUCUCAAAAUGCAAAUGUAUUAUGAACAAAAUGGCAGUUUACCUUAUUAAACUAACAUAAUACUACAAUGUUGGGGGGUUUUACACUUAUGUAAAAUGAUCACUGCCAAAUGAUCACUGCCAAAUUUUUCCUCAAGGAAAAAAUCCCUUUAGAUUCUCGUGUUUAGUUCUACUUCUGCCCAAUAAUUAAUUCAAAACUUGUAAACGACGCUUAGGACUGGGUUUAAACUCUGCACCAGGACUGCUGAUGUUAACGUUUGAGACCAGAUUAUUAUAUUUGUGUUUGGCCAGUAGGCGUAAUGUGUAUUAAGUUACAAAUAUAUCAAUGUAUAUUUUUAAUAAAGUAAUACCUGUUACGUAGUUGGCAGAAAAGAUUUCGCAGAAAAUUUGAAUUCAAUAGAACAUAUCAGUUUACCACCAAAUGAAAAAUGCAGCAACUUCCUUCUGACUCAUCUUCAGCAAUAUUCUACUGAGAAGUUUUCACUUUUUUUUUAAAAAAAGCUAGUAUUUUUUAAGCAGAUUUCAUGCUGAAACAGCGAUAGAACCUCGAUGUUUGUAUUCCCAAACAUCAUGACGUGGCCUCGUGAUCAAAACCUUGUUGGGAUUUUUGCAGCUUUUUCUCAGAUGCUACUUUAUUAUUAAAAAGUUGAAUAUGUACUUUUGCACGUGUGAUUACUGACUUAACUUUCUGCCAGAAUCAAAGUAAUCUGAAGAUAGAGCUCACGACGGCAUGGUGGCGCAUCUGGUAGAGAAGCUGCCUCACGGCGCCAGAGACCCGGGUGUGAUCCUGACCUUGGGUGCUGUCUGGAUGGAGUUUGCACAUUCUCUAUAUAAUUGCAUGGGUUUCCCCCAGGUGCUCCAGUUUCCUCCCAAAGAAUUGCUGGUUUGUAAGUUAAUUGGCCUCUGUAAAUGCCCCUUGUGUAUAUUGAGUAGAAAUGAAAGUGGGAUAACAGAACUAGUAUGAACAGGUAGAAACAAGAAACUGCAGAUGCUGGUUGACAAAUAGAGACAAAGGGAUAGUCAGCACGGUUUUGCUCGUGGGAGAUCGUGUCUCUCAAAUCCAUUUGUGCUUUUUGGAGAUGUGUCCAAAAUGGUUGGCAGAGCUGGAGACGUAUAUAAGGAUUUUAGCAAGGCAUUUGACAAUAUUGCACAUGAGAGGCUGCUCUGGAAGGUUAUAUCGCAUGGGACCCAAGAUAGCUGACUGGAUAGAAAGUUGGAUUCUUGGAAGGAAGCAGUGGGUGAUGGUGGAAGGUUGCUUUUCAGACUGGAGGCCUGCGACUGGUGGUGUGCCUCUGGGUUCUGUGCUGGGUCCCAUUGCUGUUUGUCAGCUAUGUCAAUGAAUUGGGUAAGAAUGCACAAGGCAUGAUUAGCAAGUUUUCAGAUGAUACCAAUGUGGGUGGUAUUUUAGGUAAUGAAGAUGGAUGUCAGAAAAAUGCAGCAGGAUCUUGAGUGGUUAGGCAGGUGGGCUGAGGAAUGGUUGAUGGAAUUUAAUACAAAGAAAGAGCAUUUUGGGAAGUAUUUAACCAGUGUGAGAACUACACAGUGAAUGGUAGGGUUCUUGGGAGUUUGUGGAGCAGCGGGAUCUAGGCGUGUAGGCACCCAGUACUUGAAAGUGGCACCACAGGGAUAUAGGGUGCUGAAAAGGGCUUUUGGCACAUUGGCCAUUCAUUAUCAGUAUUGAGUAUGGAAGUUGGGAGGUCAUGUUACUGUUGUAUAAGACAUUGGUGAGGCCACAUUCAGAGUAUUAUGUUCGGUUUUGGUUACCAUGUACUCGGAAAGAUGUCAAGCUGGAAAGGGCGCAGAGAAGAUUUACAAGGGAAUAGAUUGGGUACAUGCAGUGUGUUUUGCCCAGAGUUGGGGAAUGGAGAGCCAGAGGACAUAUGUUUUAAUGUGAGGAAAGAAAGAUUUGGUAAAAAUCUGAAUGGUAACCUUUCUACACAAAGGGUGGUGGGUACAUGAAGCCAGCUGCUGGAGGAGGUAAUUGAGGCAGGUACAAUCAUAACAUUGUUCAAGAUGCUGGAGAAUCGAAGGUAGACAAAAUUGCUGGAGAAACUCAGCAGGUGCGGCAGCAUCUAUGGAGCGAAGGAAAGAGGCAAUGUUUCUGACCGAAACCCUUCUUUCCAUAGAUGCUGCCGCACCUGCUGAGUUUCUCCAGCAAUUUUGUCUACUUACGAUCAUAACGUUUAAAAGACAAUGGGAUAGGACGGGUUUAGAGGAAUAGGGGACAAGCGCAGGCAUAUGGGACUAGUGUAGGUGUGGCAUGAUCAAGUUGGGCUGAAUGGUCUGUGUCCACGCUGUAUGACUGGAAGGGCUGGAGUUACUCGGGAUCAGUAGCAUUUCUGGAGAAGAUGGAUAGUUGACAUUUCGGGUCAGAACUGGAGAAGGUUUCGCGUCUGAUGAAGGGUCCCGACCCGAAACGUCACCUAUCCAUGUUCUCCAGAGAUGCAAUGAGAGAUUAGUUGCACCAGCACUUUUGGUGUGAACGGGUGAUCAAUGGCAAUACCUACUUUCAUGCUACAUUUCUAAACUAAACGCUCGUCUCCCAACAGCGAAAAAAUAAGAAUUGCCGAAAAGUAAACUGUUGGGUUAUUAUUCAAUUUAGCAUACAGAUAAAACGUAGAGGCGAGGUAAAUUAUUGCCCCCCUCCCCAGUGCUAUGUAUAAGCUUUCAUUACAGUAUUAACAAAUCCAGUAAAUUGCUUUGGAGGCGGAUACUUAGUUUAGGAAAGGAAAUGAGUCAUCGGGGCGGAAUAUGCUACUUCCCCUUUUGUGAAUGUGUUUUAGUGAAUGACUAAUGGCAAAUCUUGGCCGAGGUUUGGGUGACUGUCCGUGCGGGAAAUCCAUUGCGAAAGAAAAGCUCAGCUCCAUGAAUACAGGAUAGAAAGCGAUUUUACAGCAUUUUAAUUAAGGAACCUUUUUGAACACGUGUCUCUGCUUAGAUAUUUCGGCCGUGUUAUCUGAACCCCUUUUCGACAGUAGAAUCCCUUACUCCAUUGUGGGCAAGGAACUGCAGAGGCUGGUUUAACCCGAAGAUAGACACAAAAAGGUAGUUAGACGGCAUUUCUGGAGAAAGGGAAUAUGUCCCUUUUUAUAACCACUGGAGAAGCUUUGCAUCGGGUUUUUUUUUAAAACCCAUUCCUUCAAGGCAAGAGGUACAGAAAUGUGAAAACACGCACCUCCAGAUUCAGGACGGUUUCUUCCCAGCUGUUAUCAGGCAAACUGAACCAUCCUAUCACCAACUAGAGAGCGGUUCUGAGUUGCCAUCGACUUCAUUGGAGAUCGUCGGACUAUCUUUAAUCAGACAUUGCUGGACUUUAUCUUACAUUAAACAUGAUUCCCUUUAUCCUAUAUCUGUACACUGUGGAUGGAAGCAUGCAAAAAAGUAGCUUUUCAUUGUACCUCUUUGCACGUGACAAUAAACUAAACUUAACUGAACUGAAAGCCUGCUUCAAUACAAGAAGAUAUAUUGGUAACUAGUUAUAGAGCUCAUUUAGUUUAAUUUCAGUUUAGAGAUACAGCAAGGAAACAAACCUUUUGGCUCACUGGCUCACUUUAAGCAUCUUGCCCGGAAAUAUCACGAUUUGGUUUGGGAACUGCUCUGCCCAGGACAAGAAGGCUCUGCAGAGAGUAGUGUGUUCGGCCGAAUGCACUAUGGGAACUACACUCGCCCCACUCAAGGAACUAUACAUCAGAAGGUGCAACUCCAGAGCCAAUAAAAUCAUGGGAGACCCCUUCCACCCCAGCAACGGACUGUUCCAGCUGCUACGGUUAGGCAAAUGCCUCCAUGGCCAUGCUGUGAAAACGGAGAGGAUGAGGCGUUUCUUCCCAGAGGCCAUUAGGACUGUAAACUAUCUCUCCAGGGACUAGCUUUACUGUACCAUUUUACUGUUGUGUGGUGGCUUUUUAAAAUUGCUGUUUUUUCCUUUUUCUUCCCUCCCACAAAUAUGUAAUAUGUGAAUAUGUGUUUCUGUUCCAUUCUGUUUGUGGUUUGUUUGUUUUUUUGCACAAUUCGCGAGCAUUGCCACUUUUCAUUUCACUGCACAUCUGGUAUGUGUAUGUGACGAAUAAACUUGACUUGACUUGAGUCCUCGCCGACCUGCGAUCCCUGCACACUAACACUGUCCCACUCAUGCUUGGGACAAUUUACAUCUAUACCAAGAUAAUUAGCCUGCAAACCUGUAUGUCGUUGGAAUGUGGGAAGAAACCGGAGCUCUUGGAGAAAACUGACAGAGGUCACAGGGAGAACGUACAAACUCCAUACAUAAAAGCACCUGCAGUCAGGAUCGAACCCCGUUCACUGGCGCUGUUAGGCAGCAACUCUACCGCAGUGCAACCGUGCCGCCCUCAUUUAACCCAUUGUUUCUCAUUGAUAAAUCAAAAAUGAACUAAACCUUUUUUCCAAAGUUUUGUUUGACA